rnacentral:rRNA from 1 species
UACGUAGGGUGCGAGCGUUGUCCGGAAUUAUUGGGCGUAAAGAGCUCGUAGGCGGUGUGUCACGUCGGCCGUGAAAACCUGCAGCUUAACUGUGGGCGUGCGGUCGAUACGGGCAUCACUGGAGUUCGGCAGGGGAGACUGGAAUUCCUGGUGUAGCGGUGAAAUGCGCAGAUAUCAGGAGGAACACCGGUGGCGAAGGCGGGUCUCUGGGCAAUAACUGACGCUGAGGAGCGAAAGCGUGGGGGAGCGAACAGG